rnacentral:lncRNA from 1 species
ACAAAUUUUAGUAUCAAAACAUCCCAUGAAUUAUCACUAGUAUACCAACCUUAGUUCAAGAAACGUGAGGAACAGAAGCUAAAUGUCGUUCCAGAAAAACCUUCAUAAGAUCGAUUUCGUUCAUCAAUUCAAAACGCAGAAGCUUAAUCCGAGUUUUGGAGUUCUAAGUUCAAUCCACGAAGGUUUCCAACAGAAUAUUAUACGGAGAUUUCCUACUCCAGGUAUGUUAAGGCUAUCCCUUUUUUCUUUUGUCAUGAUCCAUACGAUACGAACGAAACGUGCAAAUGCACAAAUUCCAUAAAUGACUCUAUUCAUAGAAGUAUUAUAGAUAUCUAUGUUCUUGAAUUUCCAUGUGUCAUAAUAUUUUAUCAUCUGUUCAUGGGUCUCAGAAAAAUACGAAAGUUGAAAUGAGUUUAUUUUAUGAUAUACUCAAAGGCAAAAUGGUCUUAUGACAUUUCAAAAGANNNNNNNNNNNNNNNNNNNNNNNNNAUACGCACCACCACCUGAUCAGCUGGUAUACGUUGAUGAUUUUUGUCCACAGUGACCGAUAUGAUACGAUGGGAUGCCCUCAGAGGCUGAUGAUGUUAUGAGACAUGUACCUAUGCACGACAUGACAUUCAUACACAUAUGCAUGACGCUAAAAGUAUUUCAUGAUUUACAGAGUUAUUUAGACUUACAGGUUGAGUCAAGUACUCUAUAUUUCUUUCAUGUUUGUUAUGUACUUAUUUAUGUGCCUUACAUACUCGGUAAAUUUUUAGUACUGACGUCCCUUUUGCCUGGAGAUGCUGUGUUUCAUGCCCGCAGGCCUCGAUAGACAGGCCGAGAGCCUUCAAAGUAGGCUAUCAGCUCAUCGGAAGAUGUUGGUGCGCUCCAUUUGCUUCGGAGUUGCUUGUUUGGCUGGUAUGAUUUAGACGUGUAUUGUUUGGUAUGGCGGGACUCUAUCCCGACCUUUAUGACAUUUAUGUACUCUUAGAGACUUGCAGACAUAUGUCGUGUACGUGAAAGAUUGUACGGCCUUGUCGGCCUAUGUUUUGAGUUUAUAAAUAAUCAUGUUGGCCUGUUAGGCCCGUAUGUCACGU